rnacentral:rRNA from 1 species
AUGCUUGGUGUGCCAUCUCCAUGGAUGAAACGAUCGAAACAGAUCAAACCAAGACCAUGUUUUGGGAGAGGAUCACCGACUUCUACAACUCCUCCGCGGACGUGUGAUCAAGCCGUACACAUGGUUUGCUUGGGCAUCGUUGGAGCACCAUCCAUGAUCAAUGCAACCGAUGGUCCGGUUGCAUCGACCAAGUGA